UGGGGAAUUUUGCACAAUGGGCGCAAGCCUGAUGCAGCGACGCCGCGUGAGGGAUGAAGGCCUUCGGGUUGUAAACCUUUUUCGCUCAUGGUCAAGCCGCAGCUUUGGGUUGUGGUGAGGGUAGUGGGUAAAGAAGCGCCGGCUAACUACGUGCCAGCAGCCGCGGUAAUACGUAGGGCGCGAGCGUUGUCCGGAAUUAUUGGGCGUAAAGGGCUUGUAGGCGGUUGGCCGCGUCUGCCGUGAAAUCCUCUGGCUUAACUGGGGGCGUGCGGUGGGUACGGGUUGACUUGAGUGCGGUAGGGGAGACUGGAAUUCCUGGUGUAGCGGUGGAAUGCGCAGAUAUCAGGAGGAACACCGGUGGCGAAGGCGGGUGUCUGGGCCGUUACUGACGCUGAGGAGCGAAAGCGUGGGGAGCGAACAGG
rnacentral:rRNA from 1 species